rnacentral:rRNA from 1 species
UAGGGAAUCUUCGGCAAUGGACGGAAGUCUGACCGAGCAACGCCGCGUGAGUGAAGAAGGUUUUCGGAUCGUAAAGCUCUGUUGUAAGAGAAGAACGAGUGUGAGAGUGGAAAGUUCACACUGUGACGGUAUCUUACCAGAAAGGGACGGCUAACUACGUGCCAGCAGCCGCGGUAAUACGUAGGUCCCGAGCGUUGUCCGGAUUUAUUGGGCGUAAAGCGAGCGCAGGCGGUUAGAUAAGUCUGAAGUUAAAGGCUGUGGCUUAACCAUAGUACGCUUUGGAAACUGUUUAACUUGAGUGCAAGAGGGGAGAGUGGAAUUCCAUGUGUAGUGGUGAAAUGCGUAGAUAUAUGGAGGAACACCGGUGGCGAAAGCGGCUCUCUGGCUUGUAACUGACGCUGAGGCUCGAAAGCGUGGGGAGCAAACAGGAUUAGAUACCCUGGUAGUCCACGCCGUAAACGAUGAGUGCUAGGUGUUAGACCCUUUCCGGGGUUUAGUGCCGUAGCUAACGCAUUAAGCACUCCGCCUGGGGAGUACGACCGCAAGGUUG